rnacentral:rRNA from 1 species
GGUUAAGUUAGAAAGGGCGCACGGUGAAUGCCUUGGCACUAGGAGCCGAUGAAGGACGGGACUAACACCGAUAUGCUUCGGGGAGCUGUAAGUGAGCUUUGAUCCGGAGAUUUCCGAAUGGGGAAACCCACUGUUCGUAAUGGAACAGUAUCUUUAUCUGAAUACAUAGGAUAUUGAAGGCAGACCCGGGGAACUGAAACAUCUAAGUACCCGGAGGAAGAGAAAGCAAAUGCGAUUUCCUGAGUAGCGGCGAGCGAAACGGAAUUAGCCCAAACCAAGAGGCUUGCCUCUUGGGGUUGUAGGACACUCUAUACGGAGUUACAAAGGAACGAAGUAAAUGAAGCGACCUGGAAAGGUCCGUCGAAGAAGGUAACAACCCUGUAGUUGAAACUUCGUUCCCUCUUGAGUGGAUCCUGAGUACGGCGGAACACGUGAAAUUCCGUCGGAAGCUGGGAGGACCAUCUCCCAAGGCUAAAUACUACCUAGUGACCGAUAGUGAACCAGUACCGUGAGGGAAAGGUGAAAAGCACCCCGGAAGGGGAGUGAAAGAGAUCCUGAAACCGUGUGCCUACAAGUAGUCAGAGCCCGUUAACGGGUGAUGGCGUGCCUUUUGUAGAAUGAACCGGCGAGUUACGAUCCCAUGCAAGGUUAAGCUGAUAAGGCGGAGCCGUAGCGAAAGCGAGUCUGAAUAGGGCGUUUAGUAUGUGGUUGUAGACCCGAAACCAGGUGAUCUACCCAUGUCCAGGGUGAAGUUCAGGUAACACUGAAUGGAGGCCCGAACCCACGCACGUUGAAAAGUGCGGGGAUGAGGUGUGGGUAGCGGAGAAAUUCCAAUCGAACCUGGAGAUAGCUGGUUCUCUCCGAAAUAGCUUUAGGGCUAGCCUCAUGUUGUAAGAGUCUUGGAGGUAGAGCACUGAUUGGACUAGGGGCCCCCAACGGGUUACCGAAUUCAGUCAAACUCCGAAUGCCAAAGACUUAUCCAUGGGAGUCAGACUGCGAGUGAUAAGAUCCGUAGUCAAAAGGGAAACAGCCCAGACCACCAGCUAAGGUCCCCAAGUAUACGUUAAGUGGAAAAGGAUGUGGAGUUGCUUAGACAACCAGGAUGUUGGCUUAGAAGCAGCCACCAUUUAAAGAGUGCGUAAUAGCUCACUGGUCGAGUGACUCUGCGCCGAAAAUGUACCGGGGCUAAACGUAUCACCGAAGCUGUGGAUUGACAUCUU